GGCUCUGUAGCUCAGUCGGUAGAGCAGAGGACUGAAAAUCCUCGUGUCGGCAGUUCGAUUCUGCCCGGAGCCACCA
rnacentral:tRNA from 3 species